rnacentral:rRNA from 1 species
UACGUAGGCACCAAGCGUUGUCCGGAUUUAUUGGGCGUAAAGAGCUCGUAGGCGGUUCAGUUAGUCGGGUGUGAAAAUUCGGGCUUAACCCGAAGACUGCAUCCGAUACUGCUGUGACUUGAGUUCGGUAGGGGAGUGGGGAAUUCCUAGUGUAGCGGUGAAAUGCGCAGAUAUUAGGAGGAACACCGGUGGCGAAGGCGCCACUCUGGGCCGAUACUGACGCUGAGGAGCGAAAGCGUGGGGAGCGAACAGGAUUAGAUACCCCCGUAGUCC